rnacentral:rRNA from 1 species
AUUGAACGCUGGCGGAAUGCUUUACACAUGCAAGUCGAGCGGCAGCGCGGGGGCAACCCUGGCGGCGAGCGGCGAACGGGUGAGUAACAUAUCGGAACGUACCCCGUCGUGGGGGAUAACACAGCGAAAGCUGUGCUAAUACCGCAUACGACCUGAGGGUGAAAGCGGGGGACCGUAAGGCCUCGCGCGAUGGGAGCGGCCGAUAUCGGAUUAGCUUGUUGGUGAGGUAAAGGCUCACCAAGGCGACGAUCCGUAGCUGGUCUGAGAGGACGACCAGCCACACUGGAACUGAGACACGGUCCAGACUCCUACGGGAGGCAGCAGUGGGGAAUUUUGGACAAUGGGGGCAACCCUGAUCCAGCCAUUCCGCGUGAGUGAAGAAGGCCUUCGGUGUAAGACUCUUUCAGCAGGAACGAAACGGUAGGCCCGUAACUACGGACGUGCUAAUGACGGUACCUGAAGAAGAAGACACCGGCUAACUACGUAGCCAGCAGCCGCGGUAAGU